GACGAACGCUGGCGGCGUGCCUAAUACAUGCAAGUCGAGCGGACCAAAGGGAGCUUGCUCCUGGAGGUUAGCGGCGAACGGGUGAGUAACACGUGGGCAACCUGCCUGUAAGACUGGGAUAACAUCGAGAAAUCGGUGCUAAUACCGGAUAAUAAAAAGAACUGCAUGGUUCUUUUUUGAAAGAUGGUUUCGGCUAUCACUUACAGAUGGGCCCGCGGCGCAUUAGCUAGUUGGUGGGGUAACGGCUCACCAAGGCGACGAUGCGUAGCCGACCUGAGAGGGUGAUCGGCCACACUGGGACUGAGACACGGCCCAGACUCCUACGGGAGGCAGCAGUAGGGAAUCUUCCGCAAUGGACGAAAGUCUGACGGAGCAACGCCGCGUGAGUGAUGAAGGUUUUCGGAUCGUAAAACUCUGUUGUUAGGGAAGAACAAGUGCCGUUCGAAAGGGCGGCACCUUGACGGUACCUAACGAGAAAGCCACGGCUAACUACGUGCCAGCAGCCGCG
rnacentral:rRNA from 1 species